rnacentral:rRNA from 1 species
UACGGAGGGAGCUAGCGUUGUUCGGAAUUACUGGGCGUAAAGCGUGCGCAGGCGGUUUUGUAAGCCAGAUGUGAAAGCCCCGGGCUCAACCUGGGAAUGGCAUUUGGGACUGCAAGGCUGGAGUGUGGCAGAGGAGACUGGAAUUCCUGGUGUAGCAGUGAAAUGCGUAGAUAUCAGGAGGAAUACCGAUGGCGAAGGCAGGUCUCUGGGCUAACACUGACGCUCAUGCACGAAAGCGUGGGGAGCAAACGGG